rnacentral:rRNA from 1 species
UACGUAGGCAGCGAGCGUUGUUCGGAGUUACUGGGCGUAAAGGGUGUGUAGGCGGUUGUUUAAGUUUGGUGUGAAAUCUCCCGGCUCAACUGGGAGGGUGCGCCGAAUACUGAAUGACUCGAGUGCGGGAGAGGAAAGUGGAAUUCCUGGUGUAGCGGUGAAAUGCGUAGAUAUCAGGAGGAACACCGGUGGUGUAGACGGCUUUCUGGACCGUAACUGACGCUGAGACGCGAAAGCGUGGGGAGCGAACAGG